UUGAAACAUUGCGAAGGAUAGUUGAGCUGGCUCUUCAAGGGCAAGUGCUCGCUGUUCUUUCAAUCUUCAUCCACCUGUGCACCUUUUGUAGUGAGUUCGAGAAACAUGAGGCUCUUUAAGUAGAGCUUCUAAGUAUCGGGCUCUCUAUGUCUUUACAAACUCUAUAUGUAUGUCGUUGAAUGUCUUUACAAGGGACUUAACUGGACCUUUUAAAAACUAUA
rnacentral:misc_RNA from 1 species